CGGGACGGGUGAGUAAUGUCUGGGAAACUGCCCGAUGGAGGGGGGUAACUACUGGAAACGGUAGCUAAUACCGCAUAAUGUCGCAAGACCAAGGAGGGGGACCUUCGGGCCUCUUGCCAUCGGAUGUGCCCAGAUGGGAUUAGCUUGUUGGUGAGGUAACGGCUCACCAAGGCGACGAUCCCUAGCUGGUCUGAGAGGAUGACCAGCCACACUGGAACUGAGACACGGUCCAG
rnacentral:rRNA from 1 species